GCCCCAUUCCUCUAUUCCAAAAGUUAAGUUUUGCUUUUUCCCUCUCAUCCUUCCCUCCCUUGUAACCUAAAAUCAACUAUGUUUUCUCACAAAUUUAACCCGCUGAACACAUCACCCGUUUCUUUUUUUUUCCACAUUCAAACUUCUUAGAAAUCCCUCUCUCGCCGAACACAUCUGUUUUGUUUCCUGAACUCCGGUGGUGUUAUAAGGGUAAGGUUGGUUACUGCCACAGAUCCGGCUCAAAAUCACUGGCGUUGUAGACGUUGAUGAUGCCAUCAAUCGUUGAACACUCCUCCACCUCGAUUUUUGUAAGACGGUACAGAGGAUUGAAGUGGAUCUGGUGCUACACAUGAAUAGACGGUACGAAGGAUUAAAGUGGAUCUGGUGCAACAUAUGAUAUCUGACAUCACAAUCGUCGGCUAGGGUUUAUUUGGGCAAUCCUCGACUGUUAAGGGAAGGUUCUAUGUACAUUUGCUCUAUUUUAAUGAUUAUAUGCUUAGAUAAAAUUAUUUAGUUUGUGGGUUUUAUUGAAUUCGUUGUGGUGUUGCAUGUUUGGAGAUAUGUGACUUGUAUGGGAUUUGGGCACAUAGGAUUAAUUGUUGUAUUGUUUUUGAAAUUGUCCAGUUCUGCUUUAGCAUUUUAGAUCUGCUGUACAACAUAUUUUUAUCAAUGUUGAGGAUAGAUGGUCUAGUGUCUGAUAUUGGUGUUACCUUUUUGUUUCCUUACUACUGAUUGCAAUGUUCUAUCAGGCGAAUCCAUUAGCUCCAUUGAUUACAUAACAUCAUCCGUUGAAAUUUAAUCACACAUAACAUGGACCUUAGUGUGUGAUCUCACUCUACCAAGUUGUUAGGUUAUCCAUGAUGGUUGGAUAAGAUAGAUCAUAUAUUUCGUGACUCAUACUCUAGUAGCUAUAAGCUUUUUCUUGUUUUAGAACACAUUGUUUAACUCACGUCACCUAUAUGGUUAGUUUGAGCCUCUUAUUUAGAACCAGAUCAUCCUGUAGUUUAUGGUAAUCGUCCCCUUUGUUUAAAAAAGCGUGAAACGCUCCUAAGCGUUUUGGUUCCAAAAGCUUUAAGCGAAGCUUUAAGCGCGAAGCGAGAGCUUCACGUAUACGAAGCACUCAAAAUUAAAAAAAAAAUAAAAAAAAAUUGUACACAUCAAUAUGACCUAUUCUACUUGUUAAUCAAUAACAAACACAAAAACAUGAUUAAAAAUCACACUUAACACAAAAAACAUAGUUCAAACAUAAAUUAAAGUCGAAACACACUUAAAACCUAAACCUAAACCUAAAUCUAAACAUAAGAAUAGAAGGAGAAAGAAGAAGACAACGGCUGGAAUGUUAAAAAGACAGCGGUUGGAAUGUUAAAAAGACAGCGGCUGAUAUUAGGGUAAAGAAACAGGCCUCAUUUAACCCUAUUUAAAGACUGUUGGGCUUAAAAAAUGGCCAAAAUGUGACCUGAUUGGGCUGAAGCGUCGCUUCAAACCAUCAUUGCUUCGCGCUUAAAGCUCGCUUCACAGCGCUUCAUGUAAUGUAACGCUUCAGACCAAAAAAGGCGAUGUUUCCAGCGCUUCACGCUUAAAGCUCGCUUUAAGCGCGUUUUUUUAAACACAGAUCGUCCCUGAUAAUGGUUUGUAAUGAUGAUACCCCAAAAUUCAGAUGAACAAAUUCUUAGAUUGCACACAAUAUUUCUCUUCGUUUAAAUGUCAUAAGCUUAUGUGCACUAAUUUCAUGAACAAUGCUAUAUUCAUCAUACUAAGUGCCUAUUGUUUUGCAUCUUCAGGAGUUUUUGACAUUUACUUAUAUGCUUGUCAUAUCUUUUAUCAAGAAGAAGACUUGAAGCAAUUCUGUCAACAAGGAAGCAAAACUUCGAGUCAUCCCGAGAACUUUGAAACUCCUGGUAUUGAGGUUACCACUGGUCCUCUUGCUCAAGGUAUUGCACGUUGGUCUGGCUCUUUUGAGUUAAAUGCUUGGUUGGUCCCUGUGGUUUUCAAAAAUUGCAGACUUGGUCCUAGUGGUUUACUAAUUACACUCGUGGUCCCAAAACUUGUCAAAAAUGAACUCAGUUGGUCCCCAGCCCUAACAUCAGUUAAAUUUCUCAGUUAACUAUGUGUGAAAUGACUAUAUUACCCCUGAACAAUUAAAAACCUGUAUCAUCUUCAUCACCAUCAUCAUCUUCAUCACCAAUUAAAAAUCUGGGUUUUCCGUUUUUUCCGCCGGAGUAACAGAUCGGAAAACCCACCACAACCUGUAUCAUCUUCAUCACCAACCCACCCCAACCUGUAUCAUCUUCAUCACGACCACCCUAACCAUCAACAGGUCUCUUCUCUCUAAAAAUCUGGUUACCGGAUUAUUUCUCCGGCGAGAGAGAUGAAUCGAGACGAGAGAGAUGAGAGGGAGAAAGAGGGGCGGCGGCGGCGACUCACGGCGGCGGCGAGACUCCUUUCUUCUCUGGCCAUGCUAAUUCUGUUUUCCGAUCUGUUACUCAUCCUUUCCAUCUCAAAUCUGCUCCAUUUUUCUGUGCUUAUCAUUCAGAUCUGUUUUUUCAACUCCAGAGCUGUUCUUCACUUUUCAGAUCCGAUCUGUUCUGUUCCAGUUAUUUUGCAUAUACUCUGCACCUCGUUCUUCAUCCUGUCAUGACGAAUUCCAGUGGUGGAUCGUCUAUAUCAAACACAAAUUCAUCACCAAAUUUGCCUAAUAUAACACAAUUGGAUGGAGGUUGUGGUGGGUUUCUAAAUUUUUUUAAUUCUUAGUUUUAGGUUUUUAAUUGUUUAGGGGUAAUAUAGUAAUUUCACACAAAGUUAACUGAGAAAUUUAACUGAUGUUAGGGUUGGGGACCAACCGAGUUCAUUUUUGACAAGUUUUAGGACCACGCGUGUAAUUAGUAAACCAUUAGGACCAAGUCUGCAAUUUUUGAAAACCACAGGGACCAACCAAUCAUUUAACUCGGCUCUUUUUGAUAAGCAUUUGGCUGCUCAUUACAACAAACCUGAUGCUAAGAUUGUCGAUCACUACACAUUUUGCAAAACCAGAGGGUUGCCAUCUAGUCCAUACACUCCACAAAUGGCUGUGUAAUACUCUCUCCGUCCACUUGUUUGAUGACCAUGAACGCAAUGCCGUCAUAUCUCACGAAGAGCGUAGAGGUUCAUGAAUGCAAGUGGGUUUGCUGUUGUUGCAAGUGCUAUGCUGCUAGGAGUGAUGCAGGUUUUGUUGCAAUUGCUACAUCAUUUGUAGAUAGCUUUUGUUUAGAAGUUUUGUAGCUUUAGUACUCUAAUUGAGAACUUGUGUAUGAAUUAUGGUAUGUUAUUGUUAAUAUCAUUUGGGUUUUAAGUUU